CCCAUGUUUGUCCGGUUACACGGAUCUAUUAUGAUUAGGUUUAUUACUUGGAUUACAUGAGAAACUUUAUAUAUAUGCAACUGGUGAUUGAAUAUGCAAGUCACCGAGCAAAUUGUAGACUGGGGAAAGCUUCAAAAUCUUCCAGCACCGCCCGGUGCCUGCAGAAGGAGAAUUGCAUCAUUGAGAAGAAGUCAAGAGUUCAGAAAAUCUGUUAUGAGACUAUGUAAUGUGCUUAGUAAGCGAUAUGUGGAUUACCUUGAGAAAUCCAAAGAAGAAACAUUGAAUCAUGAGGGUCACCUAGCAACGGACUGGAUAUUGUUUUAAACAGACCUCAAACUUCCUCUCUCAAGAGCCAUGGGAUAACUUUGAUGAGGCCAAUGUAAAAUUGGCCCUGGAAGAUGCUCUGUGAUGCAAAAAGUUAUCGAAAUCAGAAACCUCUAGCUCGAAAGCUGCUCAACCUUUCUUUGAUAACUGCUCAGAUGGAUAAUACUGAUGAAAGACACAUGUUUCUUGUGGUUCUCAAUCAGUUUUACCAGUUUCUUGUGGCGAGUAUGCCGAAGAUUUUCCUGAUAUGUGAAUAUCACAAUUGGCGGCAUCCCCAUCAGUAAACGACUAUAUGAAUCUGCAGCAUUAGAGCUAUUCAAGCUCAUCUUCCUUUGUAGCUCAAAAUCUCCACUUGUGCCAACCUUGCUUGCUCAAACUUUAAGAUUGGGGGACAUUCCAAUAGUCCUUUUUGUCAUUUCUCAAACAUUCUUGAAUGGCAUAGAAUUUUCUCCAUUCCCAAGUGAUACUGCAAAAAAGAGCUGCUAAGUUUGCUAGCUGGCUUUGUGAUUGAUUGCUGAAGGGGUGGAUCUUCCAGCAGAUUUGCAGUGUGGAGAUUUUUACCACCUUUGUGCUCUGCUUUCUUCAGGAGAGCUAUCAAUUGCACCAUGCCUACCCGAUGAAGGUGUUGGAGAGGCUGAGGACUCCCGGACAUCUUAAACGCAAAUAUGAUGACAGUGACAGGUAUAAAAAGCUGAAAACUUCAAUGGGUGGUGAUAGUGAGAUUUGCACACACCGUGCAAAAGGUUUCCCAGGAAUUAGGUUGUGAUUGAGGCAUGCUACACUUCAAGAGUAAAAACUAUGGAUUUAUUUAAAGACACUGACAAUUCUACUCGCGCACUAUCUGUUGAAGAGCAUCAAACCACUGAUCUUGGCAGAUGACCAAGUAAAUGAACUUAAUGAUAGUGGGGUCCCAGUUUCUCCGCCCGAGUCACCAUGGCAAGCCAUGACUACCUAUGCUGAACGUGUUUGUUCCUUUGGUUACUCUCUGGUAUAUCCGGAAAUGUUUAAAUCUGUUUCUUCAGCUAUCCAAAGGGCUGGUGAUCAAGGUUUGUGCAUGAAAGAUAUCUCGAGGAUUCUAAAGAUGCAAGGUAUCCCAGAGAAAAAAGUUCUCUGAAGCUGUUGUUGAGGUGCUAGAAGCAUUUGGACGAGUUUUGAAGGUUCGUCUGAAUUAACGCUUAGCAAUCUUCCCUGUUCUUUUCACCAUCUAAUGAAGUUUCAUGCACAUGCUUAGAGUUUGUAAUGAAAGAAUUCUGUUGAAGUCCUCAGUUAUAGUUUAUUUGAUGUUAUUUUUUGUGUAAUAUAACACUUUUCACUGAUCAUUUAAUAAAUAGGAAAUAUUAGUAAAGGGAUUGUUUUUUUUGAAAAAAGUCUUCCUUGUAGAAAAAAUACAAUCUGUUAGUUCGUUUGCUUAUUUAAACAGAUACUAUUUGUAAUGGUAUUGUCAAAUCGUUCCAAGUACUUUUCGACUUCAGUGGCUGCGAUGCUCCAUUGUUUUCUACUAAAGAUUCUGAGGAGUCUGCUACACAUAAUAGAGAAGAUCAUAAAGAUGUUGAGUUGCAGAAGGAAAUGCCGGGGAAUUCUAGUAAGGUACACAAAGUCACAAUUCUUAAUCUUCCUAAAGUGGUUGCUGAACCUUCAUGUGAAAAGCAAACCAUCAAUGAGGCCAAAGGUUGUCAGCCUACUGAAGCUACUUCACCCACAAGAAAUCACCCGGAAGAACCAUAUGAGCUCCGCUCUACUGGUUCGCAUUUGUGUAAACCAAUAUUGCCUUGGUACUACAAAAUGAACGUGUUUACAAGGGACUACUACGCCGUGUUCUUGGCAUAGUGAUGCAAAAUUCAGGAAUAAAAGAGGUA